GAUCUUCCCAACCCAGGGAUCGAACCCAGGUCUCCCACAUUGCAGGCAGGAAGCCCAAGUGUGGCCAAGCCUCUCCCCACAUCUAGCGAUAUCUCACAGACAAGAGAUAAGUCUUGGCCUUGAGUCAAAACACUAUUUGUGCAAAUGCGAGAGGCAAAAAGACUUCAAAAUUUAAGUAGACAAGAAAUUCGGUAUGAAUGAAGCAUGGACAGGGCUGCCAAAAAUAAAAUAUUUACAUGGUGAAGGAAUAACAGUAUCUGUUGUGAACAUUAAAUAAGAUACUGCGUGCAGUGCCAGGAACAUACUAUAUGCUCAAUAAAUGUUAGUGACUAUUACUGCUACGGCUACUUUUUGACUAUGAUUGGGAACCAAGCAUAAAUCAUUCCUACCUUUCAGGCCCACGUCAAAAGCUUUAAUAGAUUAUGCAGCUGAAUUAUACCAACAACCCCUCGAACUCAGAAAUAAUAAUUUGUUUUCCUAGUUUGUUCAAACCGAGACUCAGAAGGUGACUUACCAAUGUUAUAGAGCAAAUAGGAGGAAGAACUGGGAUUUAAAGCUCUAUCUUUACACAAUCCUAGAUGGCUUUUUUUUUUUUAAAGCAAAAACCAGCAUGUGAGAAUCUAUUUUGAUAAGUACAGUAUAAAAAAAUCUGACCUGAGAAGUAACAACAACAACAACAAAGGGUAAAAAUAAAUGUUCAAUGUUCACAAAUUAUUGUAGAAAUAAUACAAAAGAGAGUUAAAAUUUUCAUGGAGAAAAAACACAAAACAUGUCCAAUUAUAAAAAGGCUCUUCCCUUGCAAGAAAUAGGUAUAAAGAAGACAACCCAGUUUGGUUUCACUGCUGAAAAUGUCCAAAACAACUUAAAAGAACCAAUCGAAGUCCAACUUUGUACUUGCCUACUCUUGACAUGGGGAACCUUGAUAACCGCAGAGCAAGGCAGAGCUGAUAUUAGGACAGCCAAGAGUUCUUUAUCUGGGGUCCAUCCUACACUAACCUUCAAGUAAAAGCAGAAGAAAAACAAGCCCUAAAGUGAAAACCAAGCCUGAGCUCAGCAGUUGGUGACAAGAGAGCUCCUUCUUACCUGCUACAGUUUUCUAGGUCUGUAGCAGGGACGCUAGGCGCUGGGGGUGGAAGUGGGAGUCAUGGACAUGUGCUUAGAGGGUUUUUGGUGGGAAGAGGUGAAGGGGAUUAAAGAAGCCAUGACUAUGUCUACAUCACAGUUCCAAACCAUUCAAAAUGUCUAUUUCCCUCAGGGUGGCUCAACAAAAGCAUCUUUGCCUUUAAUUCCAAAAGAGUGGUUGGAUUUCUAAUCUUCCCACAGUCUCUAAUGGGUCAGAUGAAAUACUUUCAUUCUGGAAUGACCUUACAAGGAAAACUGAGUUUUGAGAUCAGUCUGUAGGUUUUUAUUUUCCUUUCUACUCAACCCAGACAAAGCCAUCAUACUCAAUUUAGGAUGAAAACAAAAGAGUUUAUAGGAAGAAAAAAAGCUUUUCCUUUGGAGAUAAAAAUAGCAUCUGCUUCUUCUGAGAGUGAGUUAGCAGCUGGAGGAAAUUAUUUAUAUCUUCCUGACCCUUUAAAAAAUUUGUUGGUCACCUUUUUAUUUAAUUACUUUUGCCUUUAUGAUGUAAAACUCUCAUGAUUUUAGCAUCCAUUAUUUCAGGAGCAUCUGCAUACAUGGAUUAUUUUACUCAGCUUUGAAGUUUUCCUCCAAGUUAUAUCAAACAGUAAUUUUAUGAGCUCUCCAGCUCUUCUCAACCCAUUACCCUGAAAACACCAGGAAUAAUCUUAG
rnacentral:lncRNA from 1 species